GCAGACACUCCUACGGGAGGCAGCAGUGGGGAAUAUUGCACAAUGGGCGCAAGCCUGAUGCAGCCAUGCCGCGUGUAUGAAGAAGGCCUUCGGGUUGUAAAGUACUUUCAGCAGUGAGGAAGGUGGGUAUGUUAAUAGCAUAUUCAUUUGACGUUAGCUGCAGAAGAAGCACCGGCUAACUCCGUGCCAGCAGCCGCGGUAAUACGGAGGGUGCGAGCGUUAAUCGGAAUUACUGGGCGUAAAGCGCAUGCAGGUGGUUUGUUAAGUCAGAUGUGAAAGCCCGGGGCUCAACCUCGGAAUUGCAUUUGAAACUGGCAAACUAGAGUACUGUAGAGGGGGUAGAAUUUCAGGUGUAGCGGUGAAAUGCGUAGAGAUCUGAAGGAAUACCGGUGGCGAAGGCGGCCCCCUGGACAGAUACUGACACUCAGAUGCGAAAGCGUGGGGAGCAAACAGGAUUAGAUACCCUGGUAG
rnacentral:rRNA from 1 species